GAUGAAGAACGUAGCGAAAUGCGAUAAGUAAUGCGAAUUGCAGAAUCCGUGAGUCAUCGAAUCUUUGAACGCACAUUGCGCCCCUUGGUUAUUCCGAAGGGCAUGCCUGUUCGAGCGUCAUUAUCACCCCUCAAGCUCUGCUUGGUGUUGGGCGUCUGUCCCGCCUUUGCGCGCGGACUCGCCCCAAAUUCAUUGGCAGCGGUCCUUGCCUCCUCUCGCGCAGCACAUUUGCGCUUCUCGAGGUGCGCGGCCCGCGUCCACGAAGCAACCAUUACCGUCUUUGACCUCGGAUCAGGUAGGGAUACCCGCUGAACUUAAGCAUAUCAAUAAGCGGAGGA
rnacentral:misc_RNA from 1 species